rnacentral:rRNA from 1 species
UGUUGAAAAAUUAGGGGAUGAGCUGUGGGUAGGGGUGAAAGGCUAAACAAACUUGGAAAUAGCUGGUUCUCUCCGAAAACUAUUUAGGUAGUGCCUCAAGUAUCACCAUCGGGGGUAGAGCACUGUUAUGGCUAGGGGGUCAUUGCGACUUACCAACCCAUUGCAAACUCCGAAUACCGAUGAGUGCGAGCUUGGGAGACAGACGUCGGGUGCUAACGUCCGGCGUCAAGAGGGAAACAACCCAGACCGCCAGCUAA